rnacentral:rRNA from 1 species
AUUGAACGCUGGCGGCAGGCCUAACACAUGCAAGUCGAACGGUAGCAGGAAGAAGCUUGCUUCUUUGCUGACGAGUGGCGGACGGGUGAGUAAUGUCUGGGAAACUGCCUGAUGGAGGGGGAUAACUACUGGAAACGGUAGCUAAUACCGCAUAACGUCGCAAGACCAAAGAGGGGGACCUUCGGGCCUCUUGCCAUCAGAGGUGCCCAGAUGGGUUUAGCUAGUAGGUGGGGUAACGGCUCACCUAGGCGACGAUCCCUAUCUGGUCUGAGAGGAUGACCAGCCACACUGGAACUGAGACACGGUCCAGACUCCUACGGGAGGCAGCAGUGGGGAAUAUUGCACAAUGGGCGCAAGCCUGAUGCAGCCAUGCCGCGUGUGUGAAGAAGGCCUUCGGGUUGUAAAGCACUUUCAGCGGGGAGGAAGGGGGAAUGGUUAAUAACCAUUGCCAUUGACGUUACCCGCAGAAGAAGCACCGGCUAACUCCGUGCCAGCCGCCGCCGUAA